rnacentral:sRNA from 1 species
AAGAGAAAUUUUAGGAAUGAUUUCGUUUGAAAUAAUGGUGGAGUUAAUAUAGAGAGAUUUUAGGCAAUAUUUUUGUUAGGUAAAUAUUUGAUUUAAAAUUUCUGCAUAAAUUCAGUGGCAUUGAGUCGUAAAUAAGUCCAAGUCCAAGAUUUAUUUAUUAAAAUGGCUGCAAAAAUGUAUAUAUAGAUAUAGAUAUAUAGUAUUCUACUCGGGAGAUAUUUUUAUCUU